rnacentral:tRNA from 1 species
GAGGGUAUAGCUCAGUGGUAGAGCGCCUGCAUAGCAUGACCAAGAUCCUAGGUUCAAUCCCCAGUACCUCCA